UGAGGAAUAUUGGACAAUGGUCGGAAGACUGAUCCAGCCAUGCCGCGUGCAGGAUGAAGGUCCUAUGGAUUGUAAACUGCUUUUGUAAGGGAAGAAUAAGGAGUACGUGUACUUUGAUGACGGUACCUUACGAAUAAGCAUCGGCUAACUCCGUGCCAGCAGCCGCGGUAACACGGAGGAUGCGAGCGUUAUCCGGAAUCAUUGGGUUUAAAGGGUCCGUAGGCGGGCUGAUAAGUCAGAGGUGAAAGCGCUUAGCUCAACUAAGCAACUGCCUUUGAAACUGUCAGUCUUGAAUGAUUGUGAAGUAGUUGGAAUGUGUAGUGUAGCGGUGAAAUGCUUAGAUAUUACACAGAACACCGAUAGCGAAGGCAUAUUACUAACAAUUUAUUGACGCUGAUGGACGAAAGCGUGGGGAGCGAACAGGAUUAGAUACCCUGGUAGUCCACGCUGUAAACGAUGGAUACUAGCUGUUUGGAGCAACCUGAGUGGCUAAGCGAAAGUGAUAAGUAUCCCACCUGGGGAGUACGCACGCAAGUGUG
rnacentral:rRNA from 1 species